GACGAACGCUGGCGGCGUGCUUAACACAUGCAAGUCGAACGGAAAGGCUCUGCUUUUGUGGGGUGCUCGAGUGGCGAACGGGUGAGUAACACGUGAGUAGCCUGCGCUUGACUGCGGGAUAACUCCAGGAAACUGGGGCGAAUACCGGAUAGGAGCUCCUGCUGCAUGGUGGGUGUUGGAAAGUUUCGGCGGUUGGGGAUGGACUCGCGGCUUAUCAGCGUGUUGGUGGGGUAGUGGCGUACCACGGCUUUGACGGGUAGCCGGCCUGAGAGGGUGACCGGCCACAUUGGGCCUGAGGUAGGGCCCAGACGGCAACGGGAGGCAGCGGUGGAGAAUUGUGCGCAAUGGGCGGAGGGCGGAUGCAAGAACGCCGCGUGCGGGAUGACGGCCUGCGGGGUAUAAACCGCUUGCGCGUGUAACGAAGAGUGAGUGACGGUAAUGGGUAAGGAAGCGACGGCUAACUACGUG
rnacentral:rRNA from 1 species